rnacentral:lncRNA from 1 species
GCACAUCUGCCCAAGCCAAGGGCGGAGGCAUGCAGCUGUGGGGAUCUGUGAAAACAUCUGAGGGAGCAGAUAACUGGGCCAACCAUGACUCAGUGCUUCUGGAGGCCAACAGGACUGCUGAAUCAUCCUGUGGGGGUGAAGAUGGGACAAGGGAAAGGGGUGAAUGGUACUGCUGAUUACAACCUCUGGUGCUGCCUCCUCCUCCUGUUUAUCUGAGAGGGAAGGCCAUGCCCAAAGUGUUCACAGCCAGGCUUCAGGGGCAAAGCCUGACCCAGACAGUAAAUACUUUCUUCACGUGGAGCUGAAGAAAUUCUCUAUACUCUCAUCAGAUCCCAUGUUCACAAACAGAACUCACACCUGGGUGGACUUACAACAAGGCAGCAUCCCUUGCCAGAGAAAGGACCGACUGGUGCUCCCAUGCCAUGCCCACCACUGGGCAGCAGGCCUACUCCUCCAUGUCAAGGGCAUCCCCUCAACAGUGUCCCUGGAACCAAAGGGCUGACAUAUGGGGUAUAUACAAUUGCCUCAAAACAAAACACCCAUUUAGAAGAAGAAUCUGUGUACAAAUACUUCUAUGAGCAAAGCAAGGAGGAGGAGAAUGAUCCUGGAUAUGUGAUUAUUCAGCUGAGGCACAACACCGUCCAUGAGUUGGAUGUCCAGGGCCCAUAUGCUUGACCUUUCCAGACAUACAAGGGGAUGCAGUCCCGUGACUUAAUGACCUGCACUCCGUGCAAACCCAGCAUGUCCGUUUGCAAAGGUCUGACACUGAGUGAGGGACAUGCUGAAAAGGUAACACCUAGGGUGUGCCAGCACUAAAAGGAACUCUUAGAGACAUCGUAUUUUCACCAUACACAACGUAAAAAGGCAUGAAGUUUAAAGUCAUCCAUGAGACCUUCUCAUCCCCAAAACUUGUACCCAAAGAGAACCAAGCCUUCAGAGUUAACUUCUAGUUUACAGGAAACACAGGGCCAGAGAGCAAGUCUGACUGCACAAUGAGAUGAAUCCAAAUGUGGAACAUUUGAUGGAACAAAGGAAGGGGAGACCUCUGGAUUGGCAGAGACAUAAAGACACCAUGUGCACUAGCUGCACCGGGUUUGCAUCCUGGUUCAGACAGUCCAGCUGCGAAAAUGCUUUAGCAAUCAGGAAAAGCUUCAGCGGAGCAGGUACUAGGUGAUGCCAACUUAUUACAGUAAAUUUUUUCAGAUGUACAAAGGGUAUCAUGGCCAAAAAUUAAGUGCCCAUAUUUUACACAGAUACCUUCGGAAGUAUGUAGGGAUGAACAGACAUAAGGUCUGGUACUUGCCUUGAAAUAGAGAGAGGGAAGGAAAUAUAUGGAACCAGGGUAUAAAGGCACCUGAGACAGGCAUAUAAGGUUUAUCAGUCUGCUUUCUCUAGUUAAGGGUUUAAAAUUGUUCAAAGUAAAAAAAAAAAAAAAAAAAA